CUAUUUCUCUUUGCUUUAGGCUUACAGGAUGGUCCCAGUUGUACGUAUACGGCUACCAGUAUGUCUGGCACUUGGUGAUGUCUGGGUCGAGUACAUUUUCCAUCAGAUCGAUCCCUUUAGUAGAGAACGGAUCUUCUGCGCCCGCGUCCCCUGCGCCCUCUGCGCCCGUCGCUACACGACAAAAAAAACACGUGCUUAGCGCAAAAAAAAAGAAGCCCUCUUCUCCCGCCGAAAAAGCCCUCUUCUCCUCUCCGCUUCUUCUCCAGCCGACGACGCAGAGCUCCUCUUCGCUUCUCCAGCCGACGCCAACCCUCCUCCUUCUCCGCUUCUUCUUCACGUGCUUACCUCGCGAUCCCUAGCUCCCCGCCGAUUCCCUCUGUGCCCCCUGCGCCCGCGUGCCCUCUUCGCCCGUCGAAGUGUCUCCUCCUCUUCGCCAGGAGGUUUAAAGUUAUUAUCAUGGAGGGCGAAUCUACGAGUAGUCGUAGGCUGAAUUUUGAUGAGUCAAUUGAAGAGUAUUCUGAAGCAAACCAAGGCUGCGGUGAUUAUGAAGUUAAUGUAGAAAAAAAGGCUGAUGAAGGCAAUGAAGAUGAUAUAGAGAUUUCCCCCCCAUUAAGCACAGAUGAAUUGGUGCCAAAAAUUGGUAUGAAAUUUCAAACAGAAGAGGAAGCGUAUGACUUUUAUUUGAAAUAUGCUAAACAAGUUGGAUUUGGCAUACGAAGGACAAGAACCCAUAAUGAUAAUUCG